CCUACGGGUGGCAGCAGUGAGGAAUAUUGGUCAAUGGACGAGAGUCUGAACCAGCCAAGUAGCGUGAAGGAAGACGGUUUUCGGAUUGUAAACCUCUGUCUUCUGUGAAGAUAAUGAUGGUAGCAGAGGAGGAAGCUCCGGCUAACUACGGGCCAGCAGGCUCGGUAAUACGUAGGGAGCAACCGUUGUCCGGAUUUACUGGGGUUAAAGGGUGCGUAGGCGGACCUGCAAGUCAGAAGUGAAAUGGAUGGGCUUAACCCGUGAACUGCUUUUGAAACUGUAGGGCUUGAGUGAAGUAGAGGCAGGCGGAAUUCCCGGUGUAGCGGUGAAAUGCGUAGAGAUCGGGAAGAACACCAGUGGCGAAGGCGGCCUGCUGGGCUUUAACUGACGCUGAAGCACGAAAGCGUGGGUAGCAAACAGGAUUAGAUACCCGAGUAGUC
rnacentral:rRNA from 1 species